CUCACUCCUUACCUCUCACUUGUCUCAGUAAACCAAGCAGGAAGAAUAUGGGAGCCCGAGCCUGACAGCCUUCCUGGAGCUGCUGAGACAGACAGUGAGGGCACUCUGGGGCUCCUUCUUGUGUGCUGAGUGAUCUUCUCUGUCCUCUAACCCUGUCUUCCUUCGACCAUAGUGCUGCAUUACGUCCCAUCUGCUGACCUGAGGGCAAGACCUCACCUCCUGCUGCUGCUAACUCACUUCAGUCGUGUCCGACUCUGUGUGACCCCAUAGACGGCGGGCCACCAGGCUCCCCUGUCCCUGGGAUUCUCCAGGCAAGAACACUGGAGUGGGUUACCAUUUCCUUCUCCAGUGCAUGAAAGUGAAAGUGAAGUCGCUCAGUCCUAUCCGACUCGUAGCGACCCCAUGGAUCGCAGAUUACCAGGCUCCUCCAUCAUGGGAUUUUCCAGGCAAGAGUCCUGGAGUGGGGUUCCAUUGCCUUCUCCCCUGGAAGAUGUCAAAUCCACAGAUGCCUGGUGAGAAGUGCACCGGCAUCUCAUCUGGACGCUUCUGCCUAAGGCUUCCUGGAAAUGGCUUCUGCAGGUCCAUUCUCCACAUCUGUGUCACUUUUCCUGCCCUUUAAAUAGUUUUCUGAUGUUUGACAGAUGCAUGAUAGGAUCAACUCAGCCAACAUGGUAUCUUGCAGAGGAGUGUGAAUGCCCUAUGGAUCUCCCAUGCUCCAUCUGUUCAUCCCUCAAAACCUCACUUGGAACCCCUGACAACUACUCAACGUUUUACUCUUUCUAAAGAUUUGCAUUUUCCAGACUGUAACACUGAUGGACUCAUACA
ensembl:lncRNA